AGGUUGCUUCUGUCUCAGGUCAUUGAGUCCAGACUCCUAAGUGUUGGUGCUGUAAUCAGCUCAGGAGCAGGCAAACAUCCCCUGCCAGUUUUAUCUUUCAACCGAGAAUUAAACAAGAAAACAAAUAGCGUAGUUCCUCUGAGCCUCUGGAACACAUUGUGCCGAUUUUUUUUUUAUACCCGGGAAUUUCUUUUCUCAGAAGACUACAGGUUUCAUAACUAACAAGUUCCAAAUUAGAAGUAGCCACAGAGGAGGAAGCAUCCUAAGCAGAUUGUUGAAACCAUCCAACGAUUUGGGAAUAACUGUAGACGACGCCACAUGUACAGAACAAAUGAAUGGAUAUUGGAGGCUGAACCAUGACUGUGGAAAACGAUUCUGCCUGAAUCAGAUUAAGUACCGAAUGUAAAUAUGUGUGAUGAUGAAAAUGAUACUAGGUCGCUUCAGAUUGUCAGCAUUUAUCCAGGUCCCCAAACAAAGUGUUCUGUCGUAAGAGGAAGUUCCUUAAACAUUUUGCGAAGUCUGGUGUUCGUUGCCGGGUAAUUCAGUCUCAUGUCUACAACAGGUGCGGAGCUGCCCCAGGGGCCAGGUGGCGCUUUUUGUGUGCCGAAUACUGCCACUUCUGAAUUGGAAGCAUUUAGGGCCAUGAUCCAUACAGGAAAUAUGGGUCUUCAAUAGUAAUAUGGCAUCCUUGCCACUGUGUAUAAUAGUAGUUCAGAUAAAAACAAACAAGCAAAAGGAAUAUGUAAGGAAAGUUUUAACUGUGGUACAUCCUAUUAUAGUCAAGUGGAUUUCUUGUGUAAUGGGCACAAGAUUCU